rnacentral:rRNA from 8 species
AAAAUGACUCUCGGCAACGGAUAUCCCGGCUCUCGCAUCGAUGAAGAACGUAGCGAAAUGCGAUACUUGGUGUGAAUUGCAGAAUCCCGUGAACCAUCGAGUCUUUGAACGCAAGUUGCGCCCGAAGCCAUUAGGCUUAGGGCACGUCUGCCUGGGUGUCACGC